GACGAACGCUGGCGGCGUGCUUAACACAUGCAAGUCGAACGGAAAGGCCCUGCUUUUGUGCGGUGCUCGAGUGGCGAACGGGUGAGUAACACGUGAGUAACCUGCCCUUGACUUUGGGAUAACUUCAGGAAACUGGGGCUAAUACCGGAUAGGAGCUCCUGCUGCAUGGUGGGGGUUGGAUAGUUUCGGCGGUUGGGGAUGGACUCGCGGCUUAUCAGCUUGUUGGUGGGGUAGGGGCUUACCAAGGCAUUGGCGGGUAGCCGGCCUGGGAGGGUGACCGGGCACAAUGGGACUGCGAGACGGCCCAGAGUCGUACGGGGGGCAGCAGUGGGGAAUAUUGCACAAUGGGCGGAAGCCUGAUGCGGAAACGCCGCGUGCGGGAUGACGGCCUUCGGGUUGUAAACCGCUGUCGCCUGUGACGAAGCGUGAGUGACGGUAAUGGGUAAAGAAGCACCGGCUAACUACGUG
rnacentral:rRNA from 1 species